rnacentral:misc_RNA from 1 species
UGGUUCUGGCAUCGAUGAAGAACGCAGCGAAAUGCGAUAAGUAGUGUGAAUUGCAGAAUUCAGUGAAUCAUCGAAUCUUUGAACGCACAUUGCGCCCCCUGGAGGACCCCCUCUAGGGGGCAUGCCUGUUCGAGCGUCAUUGGCAGUCCCCAAGCUCUGCUUGGUGUUGGGCGCCUGUCCCGCCUCCCGCGCGGUGACUCGCCUUGAACCCAUCGGCGCCGCGGGGCUUGGCCGGGAACGCAGCACACCGCCGCUCCCGCCAGCCCGCCGGCCCCCGCAAGCACGUUGAACCACUCCGACCUCGGAUCAGGUAGGGAUACCCGCUGA